UCAGAAAGACAUAAGACUGUAAAGGAGGAGGAACACUCACCUUGGCCACCAUGUCCGCCCCCUCCUAGCGGGCAACUACGGUGCAGUGGCUUUGGCUGCGUUGUUUUUGUGUCCUAGCAUGUGAUGUGUGCCCCCUAGGGCAUUCUGUUAGAGGGAAAGGUCCAUCUCUUUCAUUAUUGUGGCGUCUUUGAACUGGAAGCGUGGCUUGCCUCCUCUGUUCUGGGGACAUUCCAGUAUGACCUACUACAUAUUCUCCAUCAGAAGGUACAGUCUGCAGAAAGUGAAGUCCUGAACUUGUUAAAGGUGUUUCAAUUAGAUCUUGCCAAGAACGUCUUUCCCUGUAACUGGGCCUGCACCCAGAGGAAUGUGUACUUCCAGUGGCAUCCUGUCUUGAAUCUUCAGCAGAAGAGUGGGAAUAUGUUGACUCACUUGAAAAAUGGCGCCCGUGCUUUGGCUCAGGAAAUGGACUGGAUGAAUUAACCUGUAUUAAGAUUUUAGGUUAAAAGAGAACUAUCACAGAGAUGAAAAUGUUAUAAAAACUUUUAUUUCACUAAAAUAAGAAACUUUCUGAAUAUAAUUAAUUUCAAAAUUCUUUAUUGUUUUUGAAGUAAGUUACUGUUCCCUGUAUCCUCUCUCAGCAAUGUGUCCCUUUACAUUCUCUUUUCAUAUAGGUGUGAGAGUCAGAUAUUGUCUAACAGGUCCAAUACAUCCUUUUGGGGGUGCACUGAAAAUUUAGUAGAGUAAUAAAGUAACCAAUUCCAACAGAAAUACUGUA